AGUGAACGCUGGCGGCAGGCCUAACACAUGCAAGUCGAACGACAGCACAUUACGAGCUUGCUCUUACGGGUGGCGAGUGGCGGACGGUUUACGAAUACCUCGGCAUCUACUUUUUCGUGGGUGAUAACGUAGGUAAUCUUCCGCUAAUACCUCAUAUGACCUCCUGGUGUAAUCAGGAGUUCUUCGGACCUUGCUCGAUUUAAUUCGCCGUUGUCGGAUUAGAUAGUUGGCGGGGUAAAGGCCCACCAAGGCGAGGAUCCGUAGCUGGUCUGAGAGGAUGAGCAGCAACACUGGAACUGAGACAAGGUCCAGACUCCUACGGGAGGCAGCAGAGGGGAAUAUUAGACAAGGGGCGGAAGCCUGAUCCAGACAUGCCGCGUGGGUGAAGAAGGCAUUCGGGUUGUAAAGCCCUUUUGUUGGGAAAGAAAAGCAGCAGGUUAAUAGCCCGCUGUUCUGACGGUACCAAAAGAAUAAGCACCGGCUAACUUCGUG
rnacentral:rRNA from 1 species